rnacentral:lncRNA from 1 species
GGAGAAAGAGAUCGCCAUGAUGGGGAAGAAGGAAGAGGAGACCUAAAGGCCAGCUGACAUGUGAGAAUCAGGGAAAGUGGCCACACGGGCCACUUCCACAGCUGUGUUUGAGCAGGACUUUGGGUCCCUAACCUGCAACUCAGCACUCAGUCCAUCAUGGGCUUUGCUAGUCUCUGUGACUUCUCCAGGGCAGGAAAGUGACAGGUUUCUGCGCAAGGGAGCCCGAGGUACCUGGUUCAGGAUGGAGAGGGCACUUGAGAGGCGUCAAAAGCAAGCACAGUUAGAGGACAUCAGCGAUGUUAAAACCCCACGAGGGUCAACAGUAGCCCAGGCAAAAUAAAGGAGCCUGAAGUGGAAAAACAGAAAUGGAACAAGACGUUUGUUCUGGAGCACGUGAGAUUGUCCUUCUAAGACAUUUCCAGAAGUAUUCAAAGGAAGAUUUAAUGGGAAAUCAUUAUGCAAAAGAGUCAGUAAUAUAUUUUAGUUUCAAAAAGUACGGAGCGUGACGCCUGUCAAUUAUACCUUCUGCAAAGGUGAGUGGCGGUUGUCCUUGCUGUUCCAAAAUGCAAAGAGAAACAAACAAACAAACAAACAAGCAAACCAGCUACUCCUAUUCCGCACUCCAAACACCAAGCAGAAAUGCUUCUGGGACAAACUGAGCUUCAUUCUUUAUGAAAAUGAAAACACUUCUUUCUGUGCACUAGGAAAAUGUUCUGCCUCUGAGCUGCAAAACCAGCACCAAACUUGAAAAGUUUGUGCAUCAAAGGAAAAAGGCAACCUACAGGAUGGGGGAGAAUAUUUGCAGGACACAUGUCCUGGAAGGAAUACAUAUUUAGACUGAAUAAAAUGAGUAAGAGGAGGGAUAGGGAGUUCGUGUUCAAUGUUGAGAGCUUGGGACAGUUGAGAAAACGCUCCGGAGUGUUCUGCAGAUGAAUGAUGGUGACGACUGCAUCAGUGUGAAUGUCCUUAACGCCGUCAAAAAUUGGUUAUAAUGGCAAAUUUUAUGCUACAUAUGUUUUACUACAAUAAAAAUGCCAGGAAAAUCUAACUGCUCCAAAUCCUGAAUUUAUUAACCCAAUAAAUUAGGAGAUGGUUAUUGACCUAUAAAUGGAUUUGUCAAUUUUUAAAAUGAUUUCCUUUAAAUUGAAUUCUUUCCUAGAGCUUUAUUGUCUCUUCACAAACCAUUAAACACUUGUUAAAGUGUUCAGAGAGGGCUGAGAUGGAGGAGGAAGUGAAAACCAAACAAACAGAUGAGGGACCUUCCCCAAAUGAUGUCUGCUAACAGGCUUCUUGGGUAUUCUAUUUAUAUAGAUUUUACAAGUGUUUUAUUUGAGAGGAAAAAUCCCUAGACCUUACAUAGUACAAUGAACUUCUUAUGCCUGUCAGCUAGAUUUAUUAAUUUUUAACGAGGUGUAUUACUUUUAAAAGCUAUCUAUUUACUAUUGGGGGAGGGAGAAGGACAAAGGACAUCUUGCAGAAGUCUGGUCUCUCCUGCUAUGUGGGUUCUGGAGAUAGGAAAUCAGGCAGGUUGUCAGGCCUAGAAGCAAAGGCCUGUCUGCACUGAGCCAUCUUACUUGUCUUAUUUUGUUACUUUUGAUGACCUAUUUUAGACAUCACUAUUCUAUAGCCCUAAGUAUAACUUCAAGUAUGUAUCUUCCACAAUGACUUUAUGACCAUGAAAUCAAUUCAAGAAAUUUAACAUGUAUGCAGUUCUAUCCAGCGUACAUACAGAUUUCUCAUCCCCCCUUUUACUGUAGUUUAUAGAAAAAGCAAUUCUCUUCCAUAUCUAGAGUUUGACAAGGAAUAUGCAUUGCAUUUGGUUUCUGUGUUCUUUAAUCUCUUGUUGUACAGAACUUCAACCUUUCAUGACAGGUUGAACAAUUUUGGAUCAUACAGGCUGUCAUGGUUUGAAUAUGUUUGGCCCAGGGAGUGGUACUGUUAGGGGUGUGGUCUUCUUGGAAUAGGUGUGUCACCGUGGGCGUGGGCUUUAAGACCCUCAUCCUUAGCUUCUGGAAGUCAGUCUUCCACUAGCAACCUUCAGAUGAAGAUGUAGAACUCUCACCAUCUCCUGCACUAUACCUGCCUGGAUAUCGCCAUGUUCCUGCCUUGAUGAUUAUGGACUGAACCUCUGAACCUGUAAGCCAGCCCCAAUUAAAUUUGUCCUUAUA